CCGCUAUAUUUUACAACGCUUGUGUCACGCCCCGGUUUAUUCGUUUUCCCGGGCUCGCUAACAGACCCGUCGUAUACAUAGAAAUUUUUUCUGUAUACGAAGCGAAGCUGUACCUGUACCUGUAAUCAUACAACACUACAACCAGUAGUAUAGAGCUACUAGGAAAAAUAAAACAUAUAUAAAACAAUGGUUCAAUACAUACAUAGCAUCCUGGUACAAAAAUACUCGCUCUAGCGAGGUACAACAUCGGUAUGUAAAGAACCAAAAACUAGAACUACAUGUAGCUGGUACUCCUCUAGCUCUCUGACUCGUCAGGAAUGACUCUAACUCGCAACACCCUUGCCACGAUCAGUAUCAGCAAUAGCAGCAGCCGCAACCGAAGGCUCUACAAAAGAUCCACAACUGGGCGUGAGAACUACUGCAAAAAGAAGUAGUCCUCAGUAGGUACCGCUACCGACCUCAACGGCUUACCCACUAAGUCUACAGAAGGUAUGCUCAAUGAUAGUAAAGGAACUGGAAACAAUCUACAGCCACAUGCCACUAUACUAUCAUGAUCCAGCUC
rnacentral:lncRNA from 1 species